rnacentral:snRNA from 1 species
AUACCUACCUGGCAGGGGAGAUACCAUGGUAACGAAGGUGGUUCACCAGCAUGAGGCCCAGCCAUUACACUGUGGCUGUGCUGACCCCUGUGAUUUCCCCUGUGAAGGCACAGUGUAUGUAC